GACGAACGCUGGCGGCGUGCUUAACACAUGCAAGUCGAACGCUGAAGACCUGGCUUUUGUUGGGUUGGAUGAGUGGCGAACGGGUGAGUAACACGUGAGUAACCUGCCCUCUUCUUUGGGAUAACGCCCGGAAACGGGUGCUAAUACUGGAUAUUCACUGAUCUUCGCAUGGGGGUUGGUGGAAAGGUUUGUUCUGGUGGGGGAUGGGCUCGCGGCCUAUCAGCUUGUUGGUGGGGUGAUGGCCUACCAAGGCUUUGACGGGUAGCCGGCCUGAGAGGGUGACCGGUCACAUUGGGACUGAGAUACGGCCCAGACUCCUACGGGAGGCAGCAGUGGGGAAUAUUGCACAAUGGGCGAAAGCCUGAUGCAGCGACGCCGCGUGAGGGAUGGAGGCCUUCGGGUUGUAAACCUCUUUCGCUCGUGGUCAAGCCGCAACUGUGGGUUGUGGUGAGGGUAGUGGGUAAAGAAGCGCCGGCUAACUACGUG
rnacentral:rRNA from 1 species